rnacentral:rRNA from 1 species
GAUGAACGCUGGCGGCGUGCUUUAUGCAUGCAAGUCGAACGGUCCCGAUUUAUCGGGACAGUGGCGGAUGGGUGAGUAACGCGUAAGUAACCUGCCCUAAAGUGGGGGAUAACCCUGGGAAACUGGGGCUAAUACCGCAUGUGGUGGUAGGGUGAUGCUCUAUCACUAAAGCCUUCGGGCGCUUAAGGAGGGGCUUGCGUCUGAUUAGCUAGUUGGUAGGGUAAUGGCCUACCAAGGCGAUGAUCGGUAGCUAGUCUGAGAGGACGGUCAGCCACACUGGGACUGAGACACGGCCCAGACUCCUACGGGAGGCAGCAGCAAGGAAUUUUGUGCAAUGGGCGAAAGCCUGACACAGCGACGCCGCGUGGGGGAUGAAGGCCUUCGGGUCGUAAACCCCUUUUCUCAGGGAAGAACAAUGACGGUACCUGAGGAAUAAGUCUCGGCUAACUACGUGCCAGCAGCCGCGGUAAUACGUAGGAGGCGAGCGUUAUCCGGAUUUAUUGGGCGUAAAGAGGGCGUAGGCGGUUCUUCAAGUCGGAUGUGAAAUCUCCCGGCUCAACCGGGAGGGGCCAUCCGAUACUGUUGGGCUAGAGGGCAGUAGAGGAAGGUGGAAUUCCCGGUGUAGUGGUGAAAUGCGUAGAUAUCGGGAGGAACACCAGUGGCGAAGGCGGCCUUCUGGGCUGUUUCUGACGCUGAGGCCCAAAAGCGUGGGGAGCGAACAGGAUUAGAUACCCUGGUAGUCCACGCCGUAAACGAUGGAUACUAGGUAUAGGGAGUAUCGACCCUCUCUGUGCCGAAGCUAACGCUUUAAGUAUCCCGCCUGGGGAGUACGGCCGCAAGGCUA